CUCAAAUUUGAAAUCUGGCGUCUUUGGCGUCCGAGUUGUAAUUUGCAGAGGGCGCUUUGGCAUUGGCAGCGGUCCAAGUUCCUUGGAACAGGACGUCACAGAGGGUGAGAAUCCCGUACGUGGUCGCUAGCCUUUACCGUGUAAAGCCCCUUCGACGAGUCGAGUUGUUUGGGAAUGCAGCUCUAAAUGGGAGGUAAAUUUCUUCUAAAGCUAAAUACUGGCCAGAGACCGAUAGCGCACAAGUAGAGUGAUCGAAAGAUGAAAAGCACUUUGGAAAGAGAGUUAAAAAGCACGUGAAAUUGUUGAAAGGGAAGCGCUUGCAGCCAGACUUGCCUGUAGUUGCUCAUCCGGGUUUUUACCCGGUGCACUCUUCUAUAGGCAGGCCAGCAUCAGUUUGGGCGGUUGGAUAAAGGUCUCUGUCAUGUACCUCUCUUCGGGGAGAACUUAUAGGGGAGACGACAUGCAACCAGCCUGGACUGAGGUCCGCGCAUCUGCUAGGAUGCUGGCGUAAUGGCUGUAAGCGGCCCGUCUUGAAACACGGACCAAGGAGUCUAACAUCUAUGCGAGUGUUUGGGUGUCAAGCCCGAGCGCGUAAUGAAAGUGAACGGAGGUGAGAACCUUUCGGGGUGCACCGUCGACCGAUCCUGAUGUCUUC
rnacentral:rRNA from 1 species